rnacentral:rRNA from 1 species
CAGCAGCCACGGUAAUACAGAGGGUGCAAGCGUUAAUCGGAAUUACUGGGCGUAAAGCGCGCGUAGGUGGUUUGUUAAGUUGGAUGUGAAAUCCCCGGGCUCAACCUGGGAACUGCAUCCAAAACUGGCAGGCUAGAGUAGGGCAGAGGGUGGUGGAAUUUCCUGUGUAGCGGUGAAAUGCGUAGAUAUAGGAAGGAACACCAGUGGCGAAGGCGACCACCUGGGCUCAUACUGACACUGAGGUGCGAAAGCGUGGGGAGCAAACAGGAUUAGAUACCCGCGUAGUCCCUGUCUCUUAUAC